CUACUCUUGACAUCCAGAGAACUUUCCAGAGAUGGAUUGGUGCCUUCGGGAACUCUGAGACAGGUGCUGCAUGGCUGUCGUCAGCUCGUGUUGUGAAAUGUUGGGUUAAGUCCCGCAACGAGCGCAACCCUUAUCCUUGUUUGCCAGCACUUCGGGUGGGAACUCCAGGGAGACUGCCGGUGAUAAACCGGAGGAAGGUGGGGACGACGUCAAGUCAUCAUGGCCCUUACGAGUAGGGCUACACACGUGCUACAAUGGCGCAUACAGAGGGCGGCCAACUUGCGAGAGUGAGCGAAUCCCAAAAAGUGCGUCGUAGUCCGGAUCGGAGUCUGCAACUCGACUCCGUGAAGUCGGAAUCGCUAGUAAUCGUGGAUCAGAAUGCCACGGUGAAUACGUUCCC
rnacentral:rRNA from 1 species